GGUUUAGGUAGACAGAUAUAACCAGUGUUGUGGAGGAGGUCUAGGUAGACAGAUAUAACCAGUGUUGUGGUCUAGGUAGACAGAUAUAACCAGUGUUGUGGUCUAGGUAGACAGAUAGAACCAGUGUUGUGGAGGAGGUCUAGGUAGACAGAUAUAACCAGUGUUGUGGUCUAGGUAGACAGAUAUAACCAGUGUUGUGGUCUAGGUAGACAGAUAUAACCAGUGGUGUGGAGGAGGUCUAGGUAGACAGAUAUAACCAGUGUUGUGGUCUAGGUAGACAGAUAGAACCAGUGUUGUGGAGGAGGUCUAGGCAGACUGAUAUAACCAGUGUUGUGGAGGAGGUCUAGGUAGACAGAUAGAACCAGUGUUGUGGAGGAGGUCUAGGUAGACAGAUAGAACCAGUGUUGUGGAGGAGGUCUAGGCAGACUGAUAUAACCAGUGUUGUGGAGGAGGUCUAGGUAGACAGAUAGAACCAGUGUUGUGGAGGAGGUCUAGGUAGACAGAUAUAACCAGUGUUGUGGAGGAGGUCUAGGCAGACUGAUAUAACCAGUGUUGUGGAGGAGGUCUAGGUAGACAGAUAGAACCAGUGUUGUGGAGGAGGUCUAGGUAGACAGAUAGAACCAGUGUUGUGGAGGAGGUCUAGGCAGACUGAUAUAACCAGUGUUGUGGAGGAGGUCUAGGUAGACAGAUAGAACCAGUGUUGUGGAGGAGGUCUAGGUAGACAGAUAUAACCAGUGUUGUGGAGGAGGUCUAGGCAGACUGAUAUAACCAGUGUUGUGGAGGAGGUCUAGGUAGACAGAUAGAACCAGUGUUGUGGAGGAGGUCUAGGUAGACAGAUAGAACCAGUGUUGUGGAGGAGGUCUAGGUAGACAGAUAUAACCAGUGUUGUGGAGGAGGUCUAGGUAGAUAUACAUAAUAUGACAUUUGUAAUGUCUUUAUUCUUUUGAAUCUUCUGUAUGUGUAAUGUUUACUGUUAAUUUUUAUUGUUUAUUUCAAUUUUGUAUAUUAUCUACCUCACUUGCUUUGGCAAUGUUAACACAUG